GUUUUAUUAAUUGAAAAUAAAUAAUUCAGGUAUACUGUGUUCGAACCUCAACAGGACGACCCAACCUUAAGAGGAGUCAUUAGCCCUGUAGACCUGUAAGAUGGACUAUGUAGAGCCUGAGGAGAGGGAACUGAGAGUUCUUGACUAUGAACUCAAAAGUUUGAAGGCGGACAAACGGGUAUAUCUCCAACAGCCAAACAGCAACAUCUAUUUCCUGUGUAAGAAGGCUGACGCUCUCACCUAUUUGGAACAAGAGAGGGAAGCACUGAGCGUCAAACAAAAGUCGUCGUAAAUGUUCCUCUCUCGAUGUGUUGUUUUAAAAAGUUUAUGAAUUAUAAUGACGUUUCUACUAUAAUGACUUUAGUAUUAUAUAAUGUACAGUACAGUCUUUUAUUUCUAAAUCUGUUAUUAGUGAAAGAUAGAAAGUUGGUACAGUAUUUGACUUAUAGUUUUUUAUCCCGAACAAUUCUCUUCACUUACGAGUGCUGUAGUCACCAUGCAUCUAAUUUAUAUUGUAUUGUUGAAUAAGUUUUAAUGAUUUAAUAUGGGUUAGGUUUAGACACCAACUCAAUAUAAGUGUCAUUGUACUGUGAAUCCUUGUAAACAUUCUUCUGUGUUAGAAAAUAGAAUGACGAGAAGAGUUACGACCUCGACAGUUAAAGUACAGAAUGUAAUGGGAGGAUGUUUUUAAUCUUCAGUACAGUAUCUUAUAUAUAUUCUCUCAUGGUCGUUCAGCAGUUGGUUUUAUAUUCUUGUCGGAUCAACGAUGUGUGUGUAGGGUCCAGUUCAGCCCUCUACACAAACAUUCAAAAAGUAACUUUUUUUUUUUUUUUAAUUUGUGAUUUUAUUCCUUCCCUUUAACAUCCUUCCUCUUGGUGUUGUAUAAGUUUUUCCUUAAAUAAUCUUCUAUCUUUGUGCACCACAUGAUUUAGUGAGUGAUAUGUGAGGUGUUCAGAUAAAAUAAUAGGUUUGUGAGAUACUGUACUGUAAUUGUGUAGAAGACAAAGACAUUAUAGAGAAAUACUGUACUGUAGUAAUUCAUGAUGGCUCUUAUGGAGGCUGAACAUAUUUUUAUUUAUUCUCUACAGCAUUUUGUAGAAUUCCCAAAGUAGUAAAGUUAGAUAAAUGAUAUACACAUGAGGGCAAAAAACUGAUGAUGAUGAUGAAAUAAUAAAGAUGGAACAAAACAUU